rnacentral:rRNA from 1 species
AGGUGCAGCAGGCGCGAAAACUUUGCAAUAAGCGCAAGCUUGACAGGGCUAUCCCGAGUGCCAUCCGCUGAGGAAGGCUUUUACCCAGUCUAGAACGCUGGGGGAAUAAGGAGAGGGCAGGUCUGGUGUCAGCCGCCGCGGUAAUACCAGCUCUCCGAGUGGUGUGGAUGUUUAUUGGGCCUAAAGCAUCCGUAGCUGGCCAGGUUAGUCCCCUGUUAAAUCCACCGAAUUAAUCGUUGGAUUGCGGGGGAUACUGCUUGGCUAGGGGACGAGAGAGGCAGACGGUAUUUCCGGGGUAGGGGUGAAAUCCUAUAAUCCCGGGAAGACCACCAGUGGCGAAGGCUGUCUGCUAGAACGCGCCCGACGGUGAGGGAUGAAAGCUGGGGGAGCGAACCGGAUUAGAUACCCGGGUAGUCCCAGCUGUAAACGAUGCAGACUAGGUGUUUGGACGGCCACGUGCCGUUCUAGUGCCGCAGGGAAGCUGUUAAGUCUGCCGCCUGGGGAGUACGAUCGCAAGAUUGAAACUUAAAGGAAUUGGCGGGGGA